rnacentral:rRNA from 1 species
GUGGGGAAUAUUGGACAAUGGGCGCAAGCCUGAUCCAGCCAUGCCGCGUGAGUGAUGAAGGCCUUAGGGUUGUAAAGCUCUUUUGUCCGGGAAGAUAAUGACUGUACCGGAAGAAUAAGCCCCGACUAACUUCGUGCCAGCAGCCGCGGUAAUACGAAGGGGGCUAGCGUUGUUCGGAAUCACUGGGCGUAAAGCGCACGUAGGCGGACCAUUAAGUCAGGGGUGAAAGCCUGGAGCUCAACUCCAGAACUGCCUUUGAUACUGAUGGUCUCGAGUAUGGAAGAGGUUGGUGGAACUGCGAGUGUAGAGGUGAAAUUCGUAGAUAUGCGCAAGAACACCGGUGGCGAAGGCGACUUACUGGGCCGUAACUGACGCUGAGGCGCGAAAGCGUGGGGAGCGAACAGGAUUAGAUACCCGAGUAGUCC